AGCGAGUGAGGACUCGGCUCCGGUAGUGGCGGUGAGCGGGCGCUCGCGAGCAGGGUUGACCGGCCGGCCGCCUAGAGAGGGGAUCGGCGGCGGCGGCGGCGGCUUUCUCGGGCAUCGGUUCGUUCGAUCGGUCCGGUCGCUUCGGUUUGUCCGUCGCUCCUCAUCCCGCAGCUCUGUCCUGGGCUAAGGCGGUUUUGCAGGCGAGCAGCGAAAAAAAGCCGGAGAAGGCGAGAGAGAGGCAAGAAGCAAGCCGGCUCCCGCGCCGCCAGGGCGAAGGCGAGAGAGAGAGGGAGACGAGAAGGGCCGGCUCUAUCCCGCUCCCCGGCUCGUUCGGGGUGGCGUGGGGCGGGCCGGUGUUCAGGCACGGGCGAGCACCUCUCGUCGGACGUUGCCCACGCACACCCACCUGCACGUGCGCGUGCGGUCUUUCCGCCGCGCCUGGGGGAAGGGCUCGCGCCUUCUCCCUCCUUUCUUUCUCCUCCCCCCCACCCCCUUUCUCCCACCGAUCGAUGAGGCCACUCGGGUCGCGUCGGAGAGGGCCCCCGGCGGGCCGGCGCUCUGCGCUCCCUGUCCCAGGGAAGCCGCGGCGGCGUCCGGUGUUCAGGCACGGGCGGCCUCCUCUCCAGUUCGCUUCCCGUCGUUCGCGAGGUGAGGCGCUCGCCCGCUUGGGCCGAGGGCGGCGGCGGCGGCGGCUUCGGGGCGCGUGGCCUCGCCGUGCCGACUCGUCUGUCCGCCCGCCCUGUCGGUGCCCCAGGGCUCGCCCGACCGAAUCCAGCUGUGUGACGGCCGAGCGGCCCCGCGAGCCGCAGGCGUACCUAUUUCGUUGUGAGCGAGGCGUCGGCGCUGCCCUCGUUUCGGGGCCCGGCGAGUGCCGGCCGCGAGCAGCAAGCCGGCGGGGUGGCAACCGAGGGAAACCGCGGGGAACCGAGGCGAAGCGAGCAGCAGCAGAAGAAGAAGGAACGAGAAGACAACGGGGGGCUGCGCCCGGCCGAGCGGGCGAGCCCGGAGCAGCGCGGCGCGUCCCGCUCCGGAUCCGUCGGGGUGUGGGGGCCGGGGGCGUCCGCCGGCCUCUCCUCCGCCUUCGGGCCGCCGCAGCCCGUGUCGGUUUUCCUGCCGCGUCCCCGCCCGCUGCGGAGCGUGCCGCCCCGGGAAAGGGUCUCCGAUCGUGGGGUCGCGCCCGUCUCGAGGUCGCGUUCUCCUCUAGCACGUCCGUCUCCGGCGGCGGGGCUUCGUUUCCCCGUCCGCUUCUCCGCCGGUCCCGGAGGGCGGGUCAGCCCCGGCCGGCCGUGCGGCGCGAGCGCGAGUCCGGCUCCCGCGGGGGGGCCCGGAGCGUGCCGCCGAAAGCAGCUGCGCAGCGGUCCCCGCUCCUUCCCCGCGGGGGGGAGGUCGGCGGGGCCGCCCCGGGGAUCGGGCGCGCCUCUCCGUCGUGGUCGGCGAGCGAGCGAGCGAGCGAGGGAACGACGGAGGGCCGCCCGCCCCGCCGAGAGGCGUUCGCCCCGGCGGCCGCCGCCGUCGACCCGGCAAGGGCCAGACGGGAAAGCCGAGCGAGCAGGCGAGAGAGAGAGAGAGGGAAGGAGCGAGAGCGGUCGGCGGCGGGCCGGGCCCGUCGGGUCGUGCCCCGUGGCGCGGCUACCUGGUUGAUCCUGCCAGUAGCAUAUGCUUGUCUCAAAGAUUAAGCCAUGCAUGUCUAAGUACACACGGGCGGUACAGUGAAACUGCGAAUGGCUCAUUAAAUCAGUUAUGGUUCCUUUGGUCGCUCCCCUCCCGUUACUUGGAUAACUGUGGUAAUUCUAGAGCUAAUACAUGCCGACGAGCGCCGACCUCCGGGGACGCGUGCAUUUAUCAGACCAAAACCAACCCGGGCUCGCCCGGCGGCUUUGGUGACUCUAGAUAACCUCGAGCCGAUCGCACGCCCCCGUGGCGGCGAC
rnacentral:lncRNA from 1 species